ACACUUAACUACAUUAUUUCAUUCUCUUCCUUACAAGAAAACCCUAGCCUCCAUGGAUGGAGCUUGAAGCCUUAGGCAUUGACCUUGAUCUUUGAGGCCCUUCCACUUACUUUAGACCAUAAAACUUCAAAUACUUUUUGUUCCCCUCAUCCUCCUCUUCAAAACCCUUGAAGGAUCUAGCCUAACUCCUAAUUUUGCUUUGGUAUCUAGAGAUUCAAUUCUCUAGUGAGUUGAAGGUAGCAAGCUGAAAAAUCUGUUUUGCGGACUGAAAAUUUGGGGCGAUUUCAUUUCGGUGGUAAUUGGGAUUUUCAUUCCAAUUGAGGUACAUGACUCAGGAUUUGAAGAUUCCAUUGCUCCUUGGAUGGCUUACAGUUUCUAAGUUUCUAUUUUUUGCAAGUGUUAGCAUAAGAUGCCUCU